rnacentral:rRNA from 1 species
CGGGGUGCAGCAGGCGCGAAAACUUCGCAAUGCGCGAAAGCGUGACGAGGCUAGUCCGAGUGCCUUCCGCUGAGGAGGGCUUUUCUCGGCUGUAAAUAGGCCGGGGAAUAAGGGGAGGGCAAGUCUGGUGUCAGCCGCCGCGGUAACACCAGCUCCUCGAGUGGUCGGGACGAUUAUUGGGCCUAAAGCACCCGUAGCCGGUUCAGUAAGUCCUCUGUUAAAUCCAGUCGCUCAACGGCUGGCACGCAGAGGAUACUGCUGGACUAGGAGGCGGGAGAGGCGGACGGUACUCCGCGUGUAGGGGUAAAAUCCUUUGAUCCGCGGAAGACCACCAGUGGCGAAGGCGGUCCGCCAGAACGCGCUCGACGGUGAGGGGUGAAAGCUGGGGGAGCGAACCGGAUUAGAUACCCGGGUAGUCCCAGCCGUAAACGAUGCGAGCUAGAUGAUUCGAUCGCAGUUCGCGAUCGAAGUGUCGCAGGGAAGCCGUUAAGCUCGCCGCCUGGGGAGUACGGUCGCAAGGCUGAAACUUAAAGGAAUUGGCGGGGGAGCAC